rnacentral:rRNA from 1 species
CCUACGGGAGGCAGCAGUAGGGAAUCUUCCGCAAUGGACGAAAGUCUGACGGAGCAACGCCGCGUGAACGAUGAAGGCCUUCGGGUCGUAAAGUUCUGUUGUUAGGGAAGAACAAGUGCUAGUUGAAUAAGCUGGCACCUUGACGGUACCUAACCAGAAAGCCACGGCUAACUACGUGCCAGCAGCCGCGGUAAUACGUAGGUGGCAAGCGUUGUCCGGAAUUAUUGGGCGUAAAGCGCGCGCAGGCGGUUUCUUAAGUCUGAUGUGAAAGCCCCCGGCUCAACCGGGGAGGGUCAUUGGAAACUGGGAAACUUGAGUGCAGAAGAGGAAAGUGGAAUUCCAAGUGUAGCGGUGAAAUGCGUAGAGAUUUGGAGGAACACCAGUGGCGAAGGCGACUUUCUGGUCUGUAACUGACGCUGAGGCGCGAAAGCGUGGGGAGCAAACAGGAUUAGAUACCCUGGUAGUCCACGCUGUAAACGAUGAGUGCUAAGUGUUAGAGGGUUUCCGCCCUUUAGUGCUGAAGUUAACGNAUAGCNCNCNCNGGNGAGUCGNANANNAUAAGAAGUAGAGNGNGNGAGNGCGACGACGACGACGAGGGAGAGG